GACGAACGCUGGCGGCGUGCUUAACACAUGCAAGUCGAACGGAAAGGCCCUGCUUUUGUGGGGUGCUCGAGUGGCGAACGGGUGAGUAACACGUGAGUAACCUGCCCUUGACUUUGGGAUAACUUCAGGAAGCUGGGGCUAAUACCGGAUAGGAGCUCCUGCUGCAUGAUGGGGGUUGGAAAGUUUCGGCGGUUGGGGAUGGACUCGCGGCUUAUCAGCUUGUUGGUGGGGUAGUGGCUUACCAAGGCUUUGACGGGUAGCCGGCCUGAGAGGGUGACCGGCCACAUUGGGACUGAGAUACGGCCCAGACUCCUACGGGAGGCAGCAGUGGGGAAUAUUGCACAAUGGGCGGAAGCCUGAUGCAGCAACGCCGCGUGCGGGAUGACGGCCUUCGGGUUGUAAACCGCUUUCGCCUGUGACGAAGCGUGAGUGGCGGUAAUGGGUAAAGAAGCACCGGCUAACUACGUG
rnacentral:rRNA from 1 species